CCUUUUCCCAUUCGCACACACGCCUCUCCCGAAACCCUCGCCGCGUGAGCGAAUCCUCUAGAGCGAUAUAGAAGCGAUCGAUCCCUUUCCCCUCCUCUUCUAGGGUUUCCGAUUCCCUCUCUCUCUCUCUCUCCCUUUCUCCGUUGUUCGGAUCCUCGAAGGGAAGCAUCGGAGAGAGAUCGUCGCUCGUCGCCCUGGUGUAACCCUCUUCACCGUUUCAAAGUGUUGAUGUUUUAAUGGAGUCUAAAGGCGGCAAAAAGAAGUCUAGCAGUAGUCGCUCAUUGCAGUACGAAGCUCCCCUUGGUUACAGCAUUGAGGACGUUCGACCAGCCGGCGG